rnacentral:lncRNA from 13 species
CAUCCACAGCCCUAUAGGAACCUGUACCAACCCGGACAGACAGAGACAACGAGAUGAAGAGGAGGAGGAGGAGGAUGUAGAACUAGCAGAGGAGGUGUUAGAACUGGGGGAGGAGGUGGGUGAGGACAUGGAGGACAUUGGGAUGGCAGGUGAGGGGGAAGGUGCACCUGAUCAUUUCGAAGUGACGAUGCAAGCUAGCGGGAGCGGAGGAAAGGAGGGAGAGGAGGGGGAGAGGGGGAUUGAAGAAGAGAUUGGUUUACAGGAAAAGAGAGAGGGAGAUAAAGGGGAGGGGGAGCUGACAGUGACAGUUGUUGUAAUUGAAGAGGAGCAGGAGAAAUCUGUAGAGGCUGUUGAAGAAGAGAAGUUCACUGAGAGAGAGGAGUCAGCAGGGGCGGACAAAAAGAGAGAAAUAGUGGAGAGAGAACCUCCUCACCCCCCACCAUCCCCUAGUUUACCUGAAACUGAGUCCAUUAAUGAUGAGGUAGAGACAAAAGACGAGGACACAUCUCCAGAGGCAGAAAAGGCACAAAUCGUUUUGCCUAUUGAUGAGACAGAGAAGACAGAGGACAAUGUUGGUUUGACGACAACAGAACCGCCAGCCCCGUCAACUAAUGAUGAGGUGGAGAGUAAAGAAGAGCUAUGUAAUGAGAGUCGAAAGCCAGAAACCACAUCCACUACAGAUGAGUUAGCGAAGGGAGAGCAUAGUGGCGGUCAGGAUGCAGAGAUGUCCAUCAGCCAGGUGACUAAUGAUGAUGGCAUAGUAAGAGUGAGUGAUGAAAGUGGGAGUCAAGUGACUGAGGACUGUCAAACUGUGUCCACUAGUGAUGAGGUCAGAGGGACACGACAGGAGGAAGGACAGGAAGAGGAGCCUAAACAUCAGCCAGCCAAUGACAAUGAAGGAGAGAGUGAGGAAAGUAACAAUAAAUUGGCACAAAAUCUACAGGUUUCACAAGAAGAAAGGGAUGAGAACCAGCAGGGAAGUGAGAAGAGUACAGAGAAAAAAGAGGAGGAGGUUAAAAGCCCUGUUACAGAAGAACAGGGAGAGACAACUAAAGCAGUUUUAGAGAAAAAAGAGGAGGGGCAUCAAGCGACAGAGCACCAGCCCCCGUUGUUCGUUACCAAGGAGUUCAUAGAGCUUGGAGUCGUCAAGAGUCAGGCAACCACAGCUCAACAGCCACAGGAUGUUGUCACUCCACCUGUUGAGGGAGGGAGCAAGAGCAAGCCACAGCUACUGAUACAGCCCAAUGAGAGUCAGGAGGGUGAGAACAGCUCUAAAGAGGAGGGAGGUUUACAACAGACAAAACAACAGCUACAGGUGGAAGAGGGUGACAGUGAUAGGGCAGUGGAGAGAGGUGGUGGGGAGAGGGAAGAACCGCGACAGGUUGGGGAUAAUGCGGUGUUGGGGAUGGACACAGGAGGCAGUAAAGUAGAUGAGGAGCAAAAGAAGAAGGAUAAUGUAGACAUAGCAGAGGAAGAGAGAAGAGGUGGCAGUAUGGAGGAACAGACGGAAAAGGCUUUAGAGCCUGAUAAUGCUAACAGAGAAGAGGGGGAAGAGAAAGAAGACAAAGUUGUAGCUCAGCCACAGGUACAGAUACUCAAGGGUUCAGCAGGAGCUACACAGGAGGACGAUGACAAGGAUUUAGAGCAUGUUGAGGAGGCUUUCGAGCUUGAGGAGGAAGGAGACAUGGAGAAAGAACAGAAAGGAGAGGUCAUUCUGGAUGAGCCCGGAGCUGCAGAGGUGGGAGGGGCUGAAGAGAUGGAUAAUCUGGUCCCAGUCUCAGAGAUAGGGACGGGAGGAGCAGAGGGAGGGGGUGAGUUGGAGGAACAGCCAGUGACAAACAUUGACGAUAAUCUAGACUCACAGUCAGAGGGAGCGAUUGAGAUGGCGGAAGAGCCAGAAGAUCUCAUUGAGGAUGAGUUUAAAUCUGCAUUAGAGGGAUGCAGCGAGAGAGUAGAACAGCCAGGGCCUGCCACUAAGGAUGAGCCAGUAAAGUUUGGGAAGGAAUACACAGCGAAGGAAAGAAGGAAAGAGAAGAAAGAAGAGGUGGAGCUAGGGGUCAAAGGUCACAAAGCCUGGAUAGAGAAUGGGUUCCCUGGAACAGAGGAGGUGAAACGACAACUGCUGAAUGAGAUGCUGCUAUCUCCCACAAGGCUGAAACAAGGAGAAAUGAAAGAGGAGGUGACAGUAAAAAGAGUUAGGGUGACACCCCGCAGAGGGAGCAACGACUGGAACAAGAAGGCGGCCCCAGAGGAGGUACAGACCCACAGAGGGAGCAACGACUGGAACAAGAAGGGGGCCCCAGAGGAGGCGCAGACCCGCAGAGGGAGCAACGACUGGAACAAGAAGGAGGCCCCAGAGGAGGCGCAGACCCGCAGAAGAAGCGACGACUGGAUCAAGAAGGAGGCCUCAGAGGAGGCGCAGACCCCUGGGUGGAGGGAGGACUGGAUUAAGAAGUUGUCCCCAGAGGAGGCGCAGACCCCUGGGCGGAAGGAGGACGGGAUUAAGAAGUUGUCCCCAGAGGAAGCGCAGACCCCCGGGAGGAGGGAGGACUGGAUAAAGGAGCUGAAGUCUGUGCUCAAAGAGGAGGUACUUUCCCCGAAGAGGAGAGAGGAGCAGGUGAAGAAAAAGAAGAAGAAGGUGGUGGUCAUGGACGAGGUGCCCACGUUCAUGCACCAGAGGACAGAGGUGAAGAUAGAGGUGAAGAAAGAGAAGGAGGCGCAGGGGGAGGAGAAGACGCCAAAGAAGUCUGUGAGGCUGCAGAGCCCAACUCCUCAUGGGGAAGACAGCGACAGUUCGGACCCCCAGGAGUACGAGAUCUCCCUCUAUGUCAAGACCCCAGUGCUCCCUGGUCCUGUAGAGCUGUAUCGAUCAGCUGAUUACCUGAAUCAGGUGUGUUACCUUGCACAUCCUGUGGGUGCUCUGGACCAGGACUGAAGAACACUGAGGGGUGUGGUCUAAGAUGUACAGAUCUCUCCACCAUUGUCUCCGUGUAUUGGCAUCUCCACUUGUGGCAGGAUAUAGUUUAGCAUGUAUUUAAAGUCAAGUGUAGCUUCUAUUCAGGUAACGGCUACAAGAUGUAUCUGUCCACAUGUCACAACAAUACAAACCCACCCCUUCUCUUAGAAGAGGCUUUAAUAAGGGACAAUCUCUCUUCCUUCGCUCUCUAUCUGUCUCCCUCUCUCAUCUGGUAAUCAAAUCAGUGUUUCGGAAUCCUCGAGAAUUAUCUACUUAGCUCGUAAUGGAACUUUCCUGUCAUCCUGUUCUAUAGAUUACAAAUGGGGCUACGUGUACCGUGCUAGCUAGCAUCAUAGGAAAACCCAUGCCAGCCACUAGCCCUAGCCCACAUUUUAGCUUAUCUUAGCUACUUAGUGGCUAAUUAUAUUAGUGUCUGGUCUAUGGUCAUGUUCAGUUGGUCAUAAAGGCUAGCUCAGACACUGUUCGCUCAAAGCCCCAAACAUUGUUCUGUUGUUGUGGUUGAUUCUCCUCUGGCUGGUUUAAAGUAAUGCGAUUUGACAACUUGAAAUGGCCACCUGUCGGGAGUCGUUGAGAGAGAGAGGACGUUGUUGUUAUCAUUAGCCUACAUUCUGUGGCCUGUUCUUCUUUACCAACUAGUGUAGCGAC